AGGAGCUUAGGUUAACCCUCAAACCAGGGGCCUUCAAAGCCCCAAACAAAAGUUAAAAUCUCUUAGCUCCUGU
rnacentral:tRNA from 1 species